GGGGGUACAGUACAGAGUCAAUGUGGAGGCUAUAUACAGGGGAACCGGUACAGAGUCAAUGUGGAGGCUAUAUACAGGGGGUACCAGUACAGAGUCAAUGUGGAGGCUAUAUACAGGGGGUACCGGUACAGAGUCAAUGUGGAGGCUAUAUACAGGUGGUACCAGUACAGAGUCAAUGUGGAGGCUAUAUACAGGGGGUACCAGUACAGAGUCAAUGUGGAGGCUAUAUACAGGGGGUACCGGUACAGAGUCAAUGUGGAGGCUAUAUACAGGGGGUACCAGUACAGAGUCAAUGUGGAGGCUAUAUACAGGGUGUACCAGUACAGAGUCAAUGUGGAGGCUAUAUACAGGGGGUACCAGUACAGAGUCAAUGUGGAGGCUAUAUACAGGGUGUACCAGUACAGAGUCAAUGUGGAGGCUAUAUACAGGGGGUACCAGUACAGAGUCAAUGUGGAGGCUAUAUACUGG
ensembl:lncRNA